GAAAAACGCUUGCUCAUUACUUUCACAUAAUCUCUAGAUUGCUGAGUCAAAUAUGAAGUGUAGGUAUAUAGUUGCUGAGUUCACUAUUUUUAUCAACUAAUUUCCAGUGGACCAGAAAAAUAAACCGAAAUGCACAACCAUUUCAUCCCAUGAGAUGUUCAAAAGAAGUCGAUCAAGAAGGGCCUACAAAAGUUAAAUCUCAAUCCAGCUAAUCCCACAAGUUUUCUUCUUUCCCACAUCAUCUAAAUCAUCCCUCAAGUUUUCCACAACAUCCCACCUCCCAUUUCCAGCAUGGAAAUUAGAAACCAUAAUCUUAUACUUGCUUCCGUCUCGUUCUUUAUCAAACACUCGACUUGCUACAAUUUGCGCAAGCUUCGAAUCAUUAUGUACAUCACAACAAGAAAGAAGCGCACCCCAUAUCCCCGAAUCCACGUCAUUUCCCAAAGAACAAAUAAGAUCAUAAGCCUCUUCCAACUCUCCCACCAUCCCAAGCAGUUUCACAAAGUGAACAUAAUGCUCAGUUUUCGCUUCGACGCCAAAUUCAACAUCCAUUCGUUUGAAAAUAUCACGGCCUUCGUUAACAAGACCACCAUGGGAGCAAGCGGAUAACAGAGCACAAAAAGUAGACUCAUCAGGUUUUAAACCUUGUUCAACAGCCUCGCGAAACACGUUAUACGCCUCGGAUGCAAGACCGUACAAACCAAGACUUGCUAUUACUGAAUUGUAAGAAACCAUGUUUCUCUUCGGCAUAUGAUCCAACACCUUGAGUCCCAUUUCCAAGAAACCGCACUUAGAAUACAUGUCUAUCAAAGCGGAAGACACCAUGGUAUCCGAAUCUAGGUUAUGGCGGAUCGCGUAACCGUGUAUCUCAAUCCCCGGUGCUAGAACCGCCACUUGUGCGGUAGCAGCAAGUAACGUAGCAACUAAUACUGUAUCAGAUUUUCUACCUUCACAAUUCAUUUUCUUGUAAAAUAUCAAGGCUUUAUUAUACUCUCCGGAUUGCGAAAAACCAGAUAUUAAAGCAGACCAUGUUACUAAAUCGGGAUGUGACAAACUAUUAAAUACUUUGUAGGCCGAAUUCAUACAUCCACACCUUGAAUACAUACUUACGAGCACACUAUUUAUAUGCGCAUUAGAAUCAAACCCGUUUCUUAAACAGUAACCAUGAAUUCCCUGACCGAUUUCCAGCAAGUUAGACCGCGUAAAACCUGAUAACAACCCCACCACCGUAUACCCAUCAGGCCGGUUUCCCAUUCUCCUCAUCACAACAAACAAACGCAACCCUGUGUCCCAAUCUCCACAACUUCCAUAACCCGCGAUCAUCGCAUUAUACAAAACCAAAUCAUGUCUAUCUAACCCAUCAAACACCAUUCUAGCAUCAUCAACAAGACCCAGUUUCGAGUAACCCGACACAAGCGCACUACCAGAAACAGAAUCCAGUCCCAGACCAAAAACAACCACUUGUCCAUGCACAAACUUAACACCUUUCACAUCAUGGUUUUCAGCACAAGCGCGUAAAAUGCAAGCGAAUGUGAAACUAUCAGGCUGUGUUUCUGAGGUGAGCAUGUCUUUGAACAGCGUAAAUGCAUCGCGAAAACGAUGGGUUUGCGCAUAGGCUCUUAUUAUGGAGUUCCAGAGAUAAACGGUUCGGUUAGGCAUUUCGUCGAACAGGUUGCGUGCAGAGUAAAGAUCGUCAUUGGUUGCGUAUAAUUUGAUGGUUUUUGUUGCGUAAAAUGGGUCAUGGUAUAGACAGGUCUUGAUUAGUAAAGCGUGGAGUGAUUUUGUUCUUGUUAGGGGUUGAGUUAGUUUGGAGAGUUCGAAGAUAAGUGACUUGAAAUGAACGAACAUUAAGUUAAUUCAACGCAAACAAUGCUGCAUCUGGGUUCGAAUGAAAUUGGGGAAAUUGAUCCUUUUUCGGUGGUUUGAGAGGUGGCGUGGCAGAGGGGAGGCGGCGGUUGUUUUUGUCGGGUAAAGGUAACAGAUCCAAAAUCAGAACAGAAAACAUCAAGUAAAGUAAUAUAAGCAGUAGUUUAAUCGGAAUUCUUACAAGCAAACUGAAGCUCCUGUGGCUCGAUGCUGAGAAGGUCUCCGGUACUCAUGUCGGUUGUGUUUAAUCGUACGAGAUCGCUAACUGAAACGUCGCUGGAUACCUAGAGUUGAAAGAUGAUUGUGACCGGAAGGUUGCCGGAAAAGUUGUGUCGAGCAUGA
rnacentral:lncRNA from 1 species